rnacentral:rRNA from 1 species
AGUGAACGCUGGCGGCAGGCCUAACACAUGCAAGUCGAACGGCAGCACAGUAAGAGUUUGCUCUUACGGGUGGCGAGUGGCGGACGGGUGACGAAUACAUCGGAAUCUUCUUUUUCGUGGGGGAUCACGUAGGGAAACUUACGCUACUACCGCAUAUGACCUACGGGUGAAAGCAGGGGAUCUUCGGACCUUGCGCGAUUGAAUUAGCCGAUGCCGGAUUAGCUAGUUGGCGGGGUAAAGGCCCACCAAGGCGACGAUACGUAGCUGGUCUGAGAGGAUGAUCAGCCACACUGGAACUGAGACACGGUCCAGACUCCUACGGGAGGCAGCAGUGGGGAAUAUUGGACAAUGGGCGCAAGCCUGAUCCAGCCAUACCGCGUGGGUGAAGAAGGCCUUCGGGUUGUAAAGCCCUUUUGUUGGGAAAGAAAAGCAGCAGAUUAAUACCCCGCUGUUCUGACGGUACCCAAAGAAUAAGCACCGGCUAACUUCGUG